rnacentral:rRNA from 1 species
GAUGAACGCUAGCGGCAGGCUUAAUACAUGCAAGUCGAGGGGGAUUAUUUUUGUAGCAAUACAGAGAUAUGAGACCGGCAAACGGGUGCGGAACACGUACGCAACCUUCCCAAAACUGGUGAAUAGCCCUCCGAAAGGAGGAUUAAUACACCGUAACAUAAUGAAGUAGCAUCACUUUAUUAUUAUAGCUCCGGCGGUUUUGGAUGGGCGUGCGCCUGAUUAGGUAGUUGGCGGGGUAACGGCCCACCAAGCCUGCGAUCAGUAACUGGUGUGAGGGCACGACCAGUAGCACGGGCACGGAGACACGGGCCCGACUCCUACGGGAGGCAGCAGUAAGGAAUAUUGGUCAAUGGACGAAAGUCUGAACCAGCCAUGCCGCGUGAAGGAUGAAGGCCCUCUGGGUUGUAAACUUCUUUUAUCUGGGACGAAAAAAGGCGAUUCUUCGUCACUUGACGGUACCAGAGGAAUAAGCACCGGCUAACUCCGUGCCAGCAGCCGCCGUAAGAC